GGCGAACGCUGGCGGCGUGCCUAAUACAUGCAAGUUGAGCGCUGAAGGUUGGUACUUGUACCUACUGGAUGAGCAGCGAACGGGUGAGUAACGCGUGGGGAAUCUGCCUUUGAGCGGGGGACAACAUUUGGAAACGAAUGCUAAUACCGCAUAAAAACUUUAAACACAAGUUUUAAGUUUGAAAGAUGCAAUUGCAUCACUCAAAGAUGAUCCCGCGUUGUAUUAGCUAGUUGGUGAGGUAAAGGCUCACCAAGGCGAUGAUACAUAGCCGACCUGAGAGGGUGAUCGGCCACAUUGGGACUGGGGCACGGCCCAAACUCCUACGGGAGGCAGCAGUAGGGAAUCUUCGGCAAUGGACGAAAGUCUGACCGAGCAACGCCGCGUGAGUGAAGAAGGUUUUCGGAUCGUAAAACUCUGUUGGUAGAGAAGAACGUUGGUGAGAGUGGAAAGCUCAUCAAGUGACGGUAACUACCCAGAAAGGGACGGAUAACUACGU
rnacentral:rRNA from 1 species